rnacentral:rRNA from 1 species
UACGUAGGGUGCGAGCGUUAAUCGGAAUUACUGGGCGUAAAGCGUGCGCGGCGGUUUUGUAAGCCAGAUGUGAAAUCCCCGGGCUUAACCUGGAAUGGCAUUUGGGACUGCAAGGCUGGAGUGCGGCAGAGGAGACUGGAAUUCCUGGUGUAGCAGUGAAAUGCGUAGAUAUCAGGAGGAAUACGAUGGCGAAGGCGGCAUCCUGGACCGGUAUUGACGCUGAGGCGCGAAGCUAGGGGAGCAAACGGGA